rnacentral:ribozyme from 1 species
UUUUUUUUUUUUUUUCGGUUUUUUUUUUUUUUUUUUUUUUUUUUCUUUUUUUUCAUCAAUAAUAGUUGGCAAGAAGACCAAGAAGGU